rnacentral:rRNA from 1 species
CAGCCGCCACGGGAAUACGGAGGGAGCUAGCGUUGUUCGGAAUUACUGGGCGUAAAGCGCACGUAGGCGGCUUUGUAAGUUAGAGGUGAAAGCCUGGAGCUCAACUCCAGAAUUGCCUUUAAGACUGCAUCGCUUGAAUACGGGAGAGGUGAGUGGAAUUCCGAGUGUAGAGGUGAAAUUCGUAGAUAUUCGGAAGAACACCAGUGGCGAAGGCGGCUCACUGGACCGGCAUUGACGCUGAGGUGCGAAAGCGUGGGGAGCAAACAGGAUUAGAUACCCGGGUAGUCCCUGUCUCUUAUAC